GUCCUCAUAGGAGAUGGCGUUCCUCCUCAUAACCGCCACGCGUUCGCGUGGCUGAUGACGCCUACAGACUU
rnacentral:ncRNA from 2 species